rnacentral:sRNA from 1 species
AUUAAAUGGCUGCCCUGGUAAAGGAUAAGUCAAAACUUUUGUAAAGUACCAUUCACUUGUCGUCGUGUGAACGACAUAUUUCUGAAUUCCUCCGGUUCCAUGAGACGUUCGACAGCGCAUGACAAGUUUGACUUCCUGACUUCCGCUUCCGUCGGAAUUUAGCGAGUAACUUUGGGAAGCAUCUCGAAUUCUGAUGACCUGCAUUUGAUCAUCGACGACUAUCUGCGUGCUUCCAGAGAGGUCACGCCAAACUUUCCUGUAUUCAAAUACCUCUGGAAAUCUGCAUUGCAUGACGGGAGUAGGAAACCUCUCUGUGAAUAAAAUAAAAACCCAAAUACGUCAAAAACAAAUGUAUCGUUUCGUGAAAUGCAAAUGAAACUUUGGGGUAUUAAAAAAUGAAUGCUUCUGAAAAAUAUUGGAAAAAAUGUAACACGCAAAUCGACGAUAUUCGACAUCAAAAACAUUUUAGUUAUUUAUGACCUUUGGUUCCAUAGUGACAAAAAAAUAAAAAAUAGAUUUUUG